CGUAGGUGGCAAGCGUUGUCCGGAAUUAUUGGGCGUAAAGCGCGCGCAGGCGGUUUCUUAAGUCUGAUGUGAAAGCCCCCGGCUCAACCGGGGAGGGUCGAUUGGAAACGUAGGGGAACGUUGAGUGCAGAAGAGGAGAGUGGAAUUCCACGUGUAGCGGUGAAAUAGCGUAGAGAUGUGGAGGAACACCAGUGGCGAAGGCGACUCUCUGGUCUGUAACUGACGCCGAGGCGCGAAAGCGUGGGGGAGCGAACAGGAUU
rnacentral:rRNA from 1 species